rnacentral:rRNA from 1 species
CCUACGGGUGGCAGCAGUGAGGAAUAUUGGUCAAUGGGCGCGAGCCUGAACCAGCCAAGUCGCGUGAGGGAAGACGGUCCUAUGGAUUGUAAACCUCUUUUGUCGGGGAGCAAAAGACGCCACGCGUGGCGUUCCGAGAGUACCCGAAGAAAAAGCAUCGGCUAACUCCGCGCCAGCAGCCGCGGUAAUACGGAGGAUGCGAGCGUUAUCCGGAUUUAUGGGGUUAAAAGGGUGCGCAGGCGGAAGAUCAAGUCAGCGGUAAAAUUGAGAGGCUCAACCUCUUCGAGCCGUUGAAACUGGUUUUCUUGAGUGAGUGAGAGGUAUGCGGAAUGCGUGGUGUAGCGGUGAAAUGCAUAGAUAUCACGCAGAACUCCGAUUGCGAAGGCAGCAUACCGGCGCUCAACUGACGCUCAUGCACGAAAGUGUGGGUAUCGAACAGGAUUAGAUACCCGAGUAGUC